rnacentral:rRNA from 1 species
UACGGGGGGGGUAAGCGUUGUUCGGAAUUACUGGGCGUAAAGGGCUCGUAGGCGGCCAACUAAGUCAGACGUGAAAUCCCUCAGCUUAACCUGGGAACUGCGUGUGAUACUGGAUGGCUUGAAUUCGGGAGAGGGAUGCAGAAUUCCAGGUGUAGCGGUGAAAUGCGUAGAUAUCUGGAGGAAUACCGGUGGCGAAGGCGGCAUCCUGGACCGAGAUUGACGCUGAACGGCGAAAGCUAGGGGAGCAAACAGG